rnacentral:piRNA from 1 species
UGAUUUUUUGAUAUACAGAAC